UUCAUCUAUUACAUUCUUCAUAUAGUUCAGCUUAUCUUCAGACUAAGAAAUUAUUCUGAUUUAUCUUAAAAAAAAAAAAGAAUACAGAGGAUUCUGUGAAGAGAUGAAAUGGGAAGAGAGAGAAGAUGUAUGUGAGCAAUAAUGGGAUAGAUCAUCAGAAAGGUACCAAUGUGAUAAAGAACUCCCAUGUGUUAACUGACAACUGUGAUGAAUUCAUAGUGACAGACCAUCAGAGGUGUGUGAUAAGGGAUGAAAAGGCUGCAUCCAGUCUCCUUGGAAAGGUGUUCUAAGUGAAUCCUUCCAGACAGAACCAUAAACAAACAGCCUAGUCCUCUGUGGGAGACAAGGAUGUACACGUUUGAUGAAUGGCUGGCACGGAUGACACCUGGAACCCAAACAGUUGGAGUCAUACCUCAGGAAAUGCUUCAAGGACGUAAGGAAGCACCAUCUGAAGCAACACAGAUGCUGAUAACAGAGAAAUAGUUACAUCCAGGAUGAAAACUGUGAAUAAAGGAAGCAACUACGUCUAAAUAGAAACCAGAGGGCAGAAUGCAGAGCAGGAAAGGGACGAGGACAGAACAAAAGCAGUGCGGCCUGACAAGGGGCACCUGCUCUCAUGAAUCAUAUGCCUCUUGCCCCUCCUUUCCAGUCACUCCUCUGCUGGCUCCUCUUCAGUCUUCCCUCCCCCAGAUGGGGUCCCCCAGCCAUUCUUGCCUUAACAUUUGUUCUUCACCGAUUUUAA